UACGUAGGGUGCGAGCGUUGUCCGGAAUUACUGGGCGUAAAGAGCUCGUAGGUGGUUUGUCGCGUUGUUCGUGAAAUCUCACGGCUCAACUGUGAGCGUGCGGGCGAUACGGGCAGACUAGAGUACUGCAGGGGAGACUGGAAUUCCUGGUGUAGCGGUGGAAUGCGCAGAUAUCAGGAGGAACACCGGUGGCGAAGGCGGGUCUCUGGGCAGUAACUGACGCUGAGAAGCGAAAGCGUGGGGAGCGAACAGG
rnacentral:rRNA from 1 species